AGUUUCCUGAAGGUGCUGGCUUCAUGCUGAGGAUGAGCAAUGGAGGAGUCCAAGGCGCCUUGUGCCUGCUCUACACAAAGCUACAUUUUGAGGACAGGGGCCUCAGGUGGCUUCUUCAUACUCUGGGAAGCUCUGUACUAUGAGCACCAUGGUAAUGAUCCACCGGAGAAGAGCUACACAGACUCAAUCAGGUCAUUUUGCCCCUCUAAGCCUGAAAAGCAGAUCAAGAUUGUCUGCCGGCAUUCUUUCCUUUAGGGAACCACCUCUCCCUCAUUCCAUGUGGCUUAGGGGGCACUGAUCCCCACUCAGUCCUCAUCCUCAAGACCCAAAGGGCCUGAGGCUGCCCCUGACAUUUUCAAGAUACCUGGAUACCAUCUCUGAGCUAACACCGAUUUCUAGAACUCCAGAAUGAUACCGUGAUGCCGUGGUCAGAGUGGGAAUGUAUGGGGUCAGGGUAAACGGAGCUGUUGACCUGAGUCCACCCCGCAGAAGGCCCAGCAAGGCCCCAACCCUAUGUUGCAGUCAUUCUCCUGGUUUCUGAAGGUGUUGUUGAAAUCCAUAGCACCAGCAGCCUGCAUUCCCACACCAGAUCCUUGGUCUACGUGGAUUAAGAGCUUUCUUUUUUUUCCAGAGGAAGGACCUAGUGUGAUCUUCUGCCCUCUCCUUCCCUAGCCAAACAAAAUAAAAGCUAUACUACAUCCCUGGGAUAAUUAGAGAUGUUAGUGAAACCACUAACAACUUGAAAUAUACAGAAUUGGUGAUUCCUAUCACAUACCAGCUAAUUCUCCAAUUUGGCUGUAGCCAAAGAAAGACAGGCCUUGGAAACUGGCAGUGGAUCACCAUAUGGUUCGUUAGUGACAACAGUUUGUGGCUGCUGCCCCAGACCUGGUCAGAUCACAUGUGUCCCCCUAGCUGUCUUCCUGGCUACCUCUCCUAAAGGUUGCCUGUGGCUGUCUGGUUGAACCGUCGGUUCUCAACAACCACACCCCCUGGCAGCGCCAGUGCCAGGAGAGACUGCAGCCUCCCCGAUGGAUGCCUUCUUGUUCCCUCUCAUGCCAGGUGCCCUUUGUUCCUAGGUGUGUUGCUCACCAUGUCUCAGAUGCCACCACGCUGGCUCAUUUCACAGAUGUGAUGGAAUCUGGUCACAGCUGACACUGGCCUUGCUCCACACUUCUGGAUGAUUUCACUCCAAGAUACAAUCUAAGCGUGCAAGGAAGGAAAAAAUUUCUCAUAAACAACCAUAUCAGUCAAAAAAUGCACACCUGAAGCAUAGAAAAAUGUACAAAAUCCUGGAUGCACUGGUAAUCCCAGCACUUUGGAAGGUCAAGGCAGGAAGAUCACUUGAGCUCAGGAGUUUGAGACCAGCCUGGGCAAUAUAGUGAGACUGCUUCUCUACAAAACAGAACAAAACAAAACAAAACAAAAAGUAGCCAAGUGUGGUGGCACAUGCCUGUAGUCCCAGCUACUCAGGAGGCUGAGGUGGGAGGAUCAACAGCCUGGGAGGUGGAGACUGCAGUAUGCUGUGUUUGCACCACUACAUUCCAGCCUGGGCAAUAGAGCAAGACCCUGUCUCAAACAAAAAAAUCAAAGAAAAAUGUACGAAAUCAUUGUUGACAUCUGACUUGAGUGUUUCUUUCAACACAUGAGGAGAGUAGCCAGAGAAAUGUUUUCAGAAAUGGCUGAACCCAAACAGCACCUUAGUAAGCAAGGGCCUUUUCAUGCGGGCAUUCACUGCACCCCAAAUGGCUACCUGCUGAAGGCCAGGAGGCAAACCUCUUCCAACCCCCUAGCACUUUCUCUGGCCUGGUUGUCUCCUCUCAUCUCUUGCAGU